rnacentral:tRNA from 1 species
GCCACCCAGCCAGUAGGGUGGAUUUGUCCCUCGGCUUGUAACCGAGUGGGCUCGGGUUCGAAUCCCGAAUAAGGCA